UACGGGAGGCAGUAGUAGGGAAUCUUCCGCAAUGGACGAAAGUCUGACGGAGCAACGCCGCGUGAACGAUGAAGGCUUUCGGGUCGUAAAGUUCUGUUGUUAGGGAAGAACAAGUACCGGAGUAACUGCCGGUACCUUGACGGUACCUAACCAGAAAGCCACGGCUAACUACGUGCCAGCAGCCGCGGUAAUACGUAGGUGGCAAGCGUUGUCCGGAAUUAUUGGGCGUAAAGCGCGCGCAGGCGGUCCUUUAAGUCUGAUGUGAAAGCCCACGGCUCAACCGUGGAGGGUCAUUGGAAACUGGGGGACUUGAGUGCAGAAGAGGAGAGUGGAAUUCCACGUGUAGCGGUGAAAUGCGUAGAGAUGUGGAGGAACACCAGUGGCGAAGGCGACUCUCUGGUCUGUAACUGACGCUGAGGCGCGAAAGCGUGGGGAGCGAACAGGGAUUAGAUACCCG
rnacentral:rRNA from 1 species